GCGUUUAAAUGUUUGUUUUGGUAAAAAGGUUCUUACUGCUGCCCAUUGCGUGGAUGGCUCGACGGCUAACAAUUUUCGCGUGCUUGUUGGACUGUUGAACUUAUAUGGACCACCAAACGAAUUCGAACAAACUAUCUAUGUCUCCAAAAUCGACGUGUAUGAAAGUGAUCCAAUUGAGAGAAGAUAUCGUCAUGACAUCGCUGUCAUCACACUUGCCACUUCAGCUAGACUCAAUAGGAAUGUGCAGCCUGUCAGAAUAGCAGAAAAUGUUGGACAAUAUUUAUUUAAGGAGUGCCAGAUCAGUGGAUGGGGUC
rnacentral:sRNA from 1 species